ACACACACUUAUUCACACUCACACACACACACACACACACACACACACACACACACACACACACACACACACACACACACACACACACACACACACGCGCACACACGCACACACACACACACCCCAGUAUAAUCCAUCUAUUAGAUAAUCCAUAGCCUCAGAGUACCAGUAUUAUGUAAAGCUAUAACUCUAUCUAAAACCCAUUAAUCCACUAGUAUGAAUAUUCAGUGUGGAGAUUAGUAUCGUAGCAUCUCCUGGGGGUUAGUUUAUCUCUGCAUUCUACACAUGACAGCAGCUUCAUUUGUAAGUCAGGAGGUGACAGAACAAAAAGGUAGCGUGAGAGGAGGGUGAGCUGGGGAGGGUGAGCUGGGGAGUUCUCAGGUACCAGAACGCAUGAGGAGAGCUGGGGAGGGUGAGCUGGGGAGUUCUCAGGUACCAGAACGCAUGAGGAGAGCUGGGGAGGGUGAGCUGGGGAGUUCUCAGGUACCAGAACGCAUGAGGAGAGCUGGGGAGGGUGAGCUGGGGAGUUCUCAGGUACCAGAACGCAUGAGGAGAGCUGGGGAGGGUGAGCUGGGGAGUUCUCAGGUACCAGAACGCAUGAGGAGAGCUGGGGAGGGUGAGCUGGGGAGUUCUCAGGUACCAGAACGCAUGAGGAGAGCUGGGGAGGGUGAGCUGGGGAGUUCUCAGGCAUGACGAAAAAAUGCCCUUUUAUAAUAAAUCCUUGCAUGCAUAUCAUCACAUUUGCGUCGUGGCGUAGAGUAGAGGCACUUACACAGGUAGAGUAGAGACACUUACACAGGUAGAGUAGAGACACUUACACAGGUAGAGUAGAGACACUUACACAGGUAGAGUAGAGGCACUUACACGGGUAGAGUAGAGACACUUACACAGGUAGAGUAGAGACACUUACACAGGUAGAGUAGAGACACUUACACAGGUAGAGUAGAGGCACUUACACAGGUAGAGUAGAGGCACUUACACAGGUAGAGUAGAGACACUUACACAGGUAGAGUAGAGACACUUACACAGGUAGAGUAGAGACACUUACACAGGUAGAGUAGAGACACUUACACAGGUAGAGUAGAGGCACUUACACAGGUAGAGUAGAGACACUUACACAGGUAGAGUAGAGACACUUACACAGGUAGAGUAGAGACACUUACACAGGUAGAGUAGAGACACUUACACAGGUAGAGUAGAGACACUUACACAGGUAGAGUAGAGGCACUUACACAGGUAGAGUAGAGACACUUACACAGGUAGAGUAGAGACACUUACACAGGUAGAGUAGAGACACUUACACAGGUAGAGUAGAGACACUUACACAGGUAGAGUAGAGGCACUUACACAGGUAGAGUAGAGGCACUUACACAGGUAGAGUAGAGACACUUACACAGGUAGAGUAGAGACACUUACACAGGUAGAGUAGAGACACUUACACAGGUAGAGUAGAGACACUUACACAGGUAGAGUAGAGGCACUUACACAGGUAGAGUAGAGACACUUACACAGGUAGAGUAGAGACACUUACACAGGUAGAGUAGAGGCACUUACACAGGUAGAGUAGAGACACUUACACAGGUAGAGUAGAGACACUUACACAGGUAGAGUAGAGGCACUUACACAGGUAGAGUAGAGACACUUACACAGGUAGAGUAGAGGCACUUACACAGGUAGAGUAGAGACACUUACACAGGUAGAGUAGAGACACUUACACAGGUAGAGUAGAGGCACUUACACAGGUAGAGUAGAGGCACUUACACAGGUAGAGUAGAGACACUUACACAGGUAGAGUAGAGACACUUACACAGGUAGAGUAGAGGCACUUACACAGGUAGAGUAGAGGCACUUACACAGGUAGAGUAGAGACACUUACACAGGUAGAGUAGAGACACUUACACAGGUAGAGUAGAGGCACUUACACAGGUAGAGUAGAGAUACUUACACAGGUAGAGUAGAGACACUUACACAGGUAGAGUAGAGGCACUUACACAGGUAGAGUAGAGGCACUUACACAGGUAGAGUAGAGGCACUUACACAGGUAGAGUAGAGGCACUUACACAGGUAGAGUAGAGACACUUACACAGGUAGAGUAGAGACACUUACACAGGUAGAGUAGAGGCACUUACACAGGUAGAGUAGAGACACUUACACAGGUAGAGUAGAGGCACUUACACAGGUAGAGUAGAGGCACUUACACAGGUAGAGUAGAGAUACUUACACAGGUAGAGUAGAGACACUUACACAGGUAGAGUAGAGGCACUUACACAGGUAGAGUAGAGGCACUUACACAGGUAGAGUAGAGGCACUUACACAGGUAGAGUAGAGGCACUUACACAGGUAGAGUAGAGACACUUACACAGGUAGAGUAGAGACACUUACACAGGUAGAGUAGAGGCACUUACACAGGUAGAGUAGAGACACUUACACAGGUAGAGUAGAGGCACUUACACAGGUAGAGUAGAGGCACUUACACAGGUAGAGUAGAGACACUUACACAGGUAGAGUAGAGACACUUACACAGGUAGAGUAGAGACACUUACACAGGUAGAGUAGAGACUUACACAGGUAGAGUAGAGACACUUACACAGGUAGAGUAGAGACACUUACACAGGUAGAGUAGAGGCACUUACACAGGUAGAGUAGAGACACUUACACAGGUAGAGUAGAGACACUUACACAGGUAGAGUAGAGGCACUUACACAGGUAGAGUAGAGACACUUACACAGGUAGAGUAGAGGCACUUACACAGGUAGAGUAGAG